rnacentral:sRNA from 1 species
CGUUAAAAUCUUGCUUACACUGUAAUGAUCUUAUCGUCUGCAAAGAUCGCCUUCGGGUGGCGAAAUAAAACUCCCGUAGCCUGAAAGGGAGCGCUAAAUUGCGGUACAUCUGCAUACUUUUGGAAGCAGAUAUCAUCGGACACCUAACCC